rnacentral:lncRNA from 1 species
UCUAUGGGCGUCCGCUACCCUCUUCCCACCCUUACCUCCCGCCCUACCCGCAGGACCACCCCCUGCUCCCCUACUCACUCCCGCUACCACCCCCAACCCCCGUGGACAUGACCUUACGCUAACUUCCCCCGCCGCGGCCACUAUCCCUCCAACCGACUAUGGGGAACAGUAGCGCACACACGCACUAUAGCGAAAUACGCAAAAAGGUGCAAACUAGAUAGCUACAGAAUAGACCUCACUCGAAAUGCUAGCUAAAAUACGUAAAAAGGUGCACAAAGUAAAUAAGAGAGCGGGAGGUACCAACUCCCGGUGGAAAAACCUGAAAGUAUACUUUGAUGCGCCCAAGUUUUCCUGAAGCUUCGUGUAGUUUUAUUGCGUCCUGCCGCGAGUCUGGAUGGGAGUCACCUGUCCAAGAAAACAGAACACACCCACACACACCCACAAAAAGCAGAGGAGAGAAUAGGAAGAAAAAAGAAAAAAAAAACAAGCUAAACUAAAAUAGUAGAAGAAUUCUUGCCAUAGAUUUUCGGUAGAGAAUAAGAACUAGAAAAUUCCAAAAAGGAAGGUAAAAAAAUUUGAGAAACCUAAAAAGAAUCAAUCUUUAUUAAAAUACAAGGAGUGGGGUGAUAUGGAAAAGCGUAUAGGAUGAGAAAAAAUGGUCAAAAAGAAUCUGAAAUAAAAUUAAAACCCUGAAAAAAUAUAAAACUUAGCUUGCUAACAGGAAAAAGACACCAAGAAAAAGGAAAAGAGCAGGAAGUUGGCGGAAAAAUUUCCGGCGAGAAGCAAGAAUUCAAGCACUAAGAAACAAUAAGUUGCAAUUUAUACGUAUCCUCAAAUCAGGAUAUUACUGGAAUAAACUCCUUAAAAUCGAAAAGAAUAAACACCUUAAAAUUUUACAAAGCCAAACUGGGAACUUAAAUUCCCCCACAAAAGAAGAAAUCAAAACGUAAAAAGGAAAUCAGGAUUUUCAGUGGAAGAAAAUAAAGGGAAAUACUUUCAAGAAUGGUAAUUAAUGAACCAACAAUGAGAUACUAAUGGACCCUUAAUUAGCUAUAAGUCUUCCAACAAUGAGAUAAAAUCACCCAGAAAGAAGAGUUAAAAAAUUGGUUAGUACGACUAGUUGGAGAAUCACAAAAGAAGAAAUCAAAACGUAAAAAAGAAAUCAGGAUUUUCAGUGGAAGAAAAUAAAGGGAAAUACUUUCAAGAAUGGUAAUUAAUGAACCAACAAUGAGAUACUAAUGGACCCUUAAUUAGCUAUAAGUCUUCCAACAAUGAGAUAAAAUCACCCAGAAAGAAGAGUUAAAAAAUUGGUUAGUACGACUAGUUGGAGAAAAAUCAACAAAAUCCAGAAGAUGUAGCAGAGUCAGAUUGAAAAUUAACAAACAGAGGCAAAAUGAUUCGAUAAGAAAAGGAAACAAAAGGGAAUUCCAGAAAAAAAAGUAACUGUUUAAGAACUGUCAACAAAUUCUACGAAAGAAAAGACGAAACUGAACCUGCCGCUGUGAAAUUUGACGGCCGAAUAGAACCCUAGCUUUGAUCGAACCCUAUAAGUCUUGUGUUGAUUAAUUAAUGUGUCCUAGAAAAGAAUACCGGGGAUGGCGUCGCCGGCCGAAGCUAGGGUCGCCGGAGAUGAAGUCGCCGUAUGAGGGGACUGGGGAAUUAUUAGUUAAUAGGAACAUAAAUUACGAUAUUUUUGUUUCCUGCAAAACCAUAAUCAAGAGAUCAAUGUCAUUUUCUAUAGUCCAACUAUAUCAAGAGCAAUAAGAAUACUAAUAAUUUAAUAAUUGUUCAAACACAAUUGAAAUAGUGUUAACUCUUCAACAACAUUUAUCCAAAUAUAUUAAUAACAAUAUAAAGUAAUAGCAAUUUCACUUUAAAAUAAACAAGUACAAAUAUAGUACUAAAACAUAAGCACAAAAUUAAG